rnacentral:rRNA from 1 species
CCUACGGGAGGCAGCAGUGGGGAAUAUUGCGCAAUGGUCGAAAGCCUGACGCAGCGACGCCGCGUGAGGGAUGAAGGUCUUCGGAUCGUAAACCUCUGUCAGCAGGGAAGAACGGUCACUGUGCUAAUCAGCAUUGAAUUGCCGGUACCUGCAAAGGAAGCCCCGGCUAACUCCGUGCCAGCAGCCGCGGUAAUACGGAGGGUUCGAGCGUUAAGCGGAAGUACUGGGCGUAAAGCGCUCGUAGGCGGUAUGUCAAGUCAAGGGUGAAAUCCCCGGGCUCAACGUGGGAACUGCCUUUGAAACGGGCAGACUGGAGUGUGUGAGAGGAUAGUGGAAGUCGAGGUGUAGGAG